ACCCCAGCUGCCAUCGUGGUGUGAGGAGGGCUCCACAGAGGUUGGUUCUUCACAGAUCUGACUGUGUGGCUCUGGAUGCUGCCUUGCCCUCCCGAGUGCUGGAAUGGCAGUGCUUUGAUACCAUGCCCAGCUACCAGUUCUUGUGAUUCUUAUGAUACCUCAUCAGGGUGGAGUUUGGUAGCUUUGGAAGCCUGUUCCAAGAGAGAAAACCAGCCCGUAUGCUUAUAGACUUAAAAACCCUGGUGUGAAGGCAGCAGAAUCAGUAACUCUCCACUGGCAACAAAGCUGGAGCUGUGUCCUUGCAGGAGGAGAGCGUUGGCUGGGAAGAAGCUGAACGCCCAUCCUCUUUAAUGUUAGGAAGCUCUGAGAAGCUCUGAGAAGAAGAGUCUUGGCCCAGAGCGUCAUAAUGAAGUUGCUUUGGCGAGCUUCCUUUUUAAGACCUUUGGCUGUGGGUGAGCUAUGUGACCUGGGAAAUGUAAGGCAAGCUGUUGUUGCAGAUGUAGCCCAGACACAGGGCACACAAAGCCGCUGAGCUUUUGUCCUUUCAGAAACUGCAACUCUAUGAUCCAACAAAAGCAGCUUUUAAGUUUAAGUCAUCUGACAGUUUAUGUGAGGUGACAAUAAGUUAAUUUAAUAGAUGUUUAUUUUCCUCAUUUUAGAGAUGUCAUUAAUUCUAGCUUAUGUUCGAAUUCAAUAUAAUAUUUGUGCAAAACACAAAUGAAUUGUAUAUACAGUUUGUGACAGUUAGUUUUAAUUGUCAACUUGACAUAACCCAGGAUCACAUGGGAAAGGAAUCUCAGUGAGGGAUGGUCUACAUCAGAUUGGCCUGUGGGCACAUCUAAGUGGGAUUGUCUUGAUUGCCUGUGUUUAUGUGAAAAUCCAGGCCAGCAUAAAUAGCACUGCUCCCGAGACAAGAGGUCAUGCAUAUGGAGCCAAGCACAGGCAAGCAAGCAAGCAAGCAAGCAAGCAAGCAAGCAAGCAAGCAAGCAAGCAUUCAUCUCUCUUCUUGACCAUGGUUGCAAUGUGAUAGACUAUAACCUGGAAGCAUAAGCCAGGGAGAUCCUUUUUCCCCUACUUUAAUUUUUGUCAGGAUAUGCUUAUCACAGCAACAGAAAUUGAACUAUAUUAGC
rnacentral:lncRNA from 1 species